rnacentral:rRNA from 1 species
UACGGGGGGGGGCAAGCGUUGUUCGGAAUUACUGGGCGUAAAGGGCUCGUAGGCGGCCAACUAAGUCAGACGUGAAAAUCCCCAGGCUCAACCUGGGAACUGCGUCUGAUACUGGCGAGCUUGAGUGCAGGAGAGGAACGCGGAAUUCCAGGUGUAGCGGUGAAAUGCGUAGAUAUCUGGAGGAACACCGGUGGCGAAGGCGGCGUUCUGGACUGCAACUGACACUGAGAGACGAAAGCCAGGGGAGCAAACGGG